CUUGCGCCUCCUUCGUAGUCUUCCACAUCCUGACUGCUUCUCUCCUUCCUUCUUGACGGGAGAAGCUUAGUGCGGCAGGAUCGGGCCCUAGAGCGCGUGCACGGGGCCCCUCGCGCCGAGGGGGACGCCUGGGGCGAGCCUGGCUCCCUUCUUGCAGCGCGUGACCCUCGGGUCCGGUGCCUCAGCCUCAGCCUGGCGGUGCUUGGGAUUGGGGAGGGUGGCUUGCUUUCACAAACCUGACCUCCAGCCGUGGCUGUUGGCCGCUCUGCCUCGCUUCUCUGCGCUCUAGCGGGGAGAUGGUAACUCCUGGAGUCCGCGCGCCUGGUACUCGAUGGCCGUUUACUCCUUCCCCAGGGAAGCCUUUAAGCGCCGUUCCUUCAGCGAUUGUUAAUAACGCCCCGCGUUGGGAUGCGCUGUGGGUGCAGUGAUCGGGCCGCAACUUGGGUGAGGCGUGAUAAUAGGCUCCCGAUUAACACAACCUCUUAUCUCCGGGAUUGGCGGCCGGCGAGGCCGAGCCACGAUGAAAUGAUGAACCUUUUUGGUGGCGCACUUGAUUACGGGGUUAGGAAAGGUCUUCGGUGGGAAGUAACAGCCGCCGGCUGUGAGAAACGGCCACGUGGGCGUACGGCGCCCUCUAGAGGAAAUGGACAAGGGUUCUCAUGCACAGAAAUAAGUCUAGAAGACACUUGGGGUGAGUUCCUUAAACAUGUGGAGCUACUAAUCCAGUGCACUCUGGUUGCCCUUUGGGAGUGGUUUAAUGCAGUGCUUGUAGAAAAUGUUGUUUUUUCAUUUAACCUGUGGAAAAUUUGUUAACUAGCCCUUGGAGACUUAAGUGUCCUGGGAAACAGUCCUGGAAUUGGUUCCCACUUAAAUCUCCGAUGUCAGAUGAUGUCAUUUUUUAGUGUAUUUUCAAUAUCCAACGUAGAUGCUCUGUAGAGAUGAAUCUCUUCAGGCUGUAUCUUUGUGGCGGAAGGGAGUGUAGGGCUCUGCCCUGUGACAUAGAGUCCCAUUCCACAACGUUGGAGAUCAAGCUGGGCCUUGUGUCUGCACCUGCAUAUUCCUAAACCUUCUCAGAGUCCUGCACUGUGACUGAGGAGACAAACCAUGCAGGAAAUAGUACUAUUUUGCCCAGAAUAAAAACACUUUUUUAGUGUUUUGCAUGUUUUACGUAAGGCCGGAAUAAAUCCUUCUUGUUUUUAGGACCUUCUUCAUCCGCAGUUUCUUUUCCUAGAAUAGAGGUGAGUUGUUGGUGACCGGACCAGUCAUGGAAAAUUACCAGACUGCAGACCUUGCAACAAGCAACAGAUGGCGGCCUAAUGGCCAGGAAAGCGGAAGGACCCCCGCACCUCAGAACAUAUAUCCAUGGUAAGAUUUUGAAGCAUUCGGCUAGUGAAGUUAGUCAUGCAUAUGAUUUUGUUGCCCCACAGUUGAUAUCUUUUUUAAUGAUGAUUUUUAAAUUGUUGGGUAUUGUAGCUCUUAAUAUGGGUAAGUCAAGGAUCAUUCCAAGUGCGCAACAAAAGGGAAUCGGUAUCUCUCCAAAGCACAAAGGUAAAUUGUAGAAAAAGGAAAAACAAGUCUUGGCUGCUGGAGGAGCUGUAGUUGCUUGCUUCCUCCAUAGUGAGCGAUAGGCUAGAAAUUGGCAGGAUGUGCAGACCAGUAAGAAGGCAGCAGCUGAUCACAACUGAAGAGAAAUGGCUAAUUAUGAGCAAGACAAUACAAAGACUGAAUGCUGAAGAUUACAAAUAAUUUUUACUGAUAAGAAUCAAACCAAAUGUCACAUGGAAAUGUUUUGGGGGGUUUUACACUUCUGUUAGCUUGGAAGUCUUGUCCCCAUUGAAGAAAGUUAGAAAGAGAGUGCUAGACUGAAAGGGACAAUUCCAGAAUUGCAGAAAAUCCCAAUUGGAGAGUUAAGUGUUGCAGUAUUGUAUUGCAUCAUUCUCUUCCUAAAAAAAUUUAUCCAAAAAAUGGAGAUAUACGUGCUUUGGGAACUCUCCUGAUUUAAAUCCUAUGGAGAUCUGUGGGAUGGGAAUUUGGUCCAGAAAUGGACUGCUCUUCACCUUGGCUGUGUGCCUUUGAAGAUGGUUUCAUUAUUAUAAAACUUUGUCCAUGCUGAAUCGUGUAAAGCAGGCAAUUGCAGCAAAAAAACACGUAGCAUGUUAAAUGUUAACCCUAACCCUAAAAAUCUUUUUUGUAUACAUUCAAUAAAUUUUACUUGUCCCUGUUGA